GACGAACGCUGGCGGCGCGCUUAACACAUGCAAGUCGAGCGAAGCGGCGGACGGGUGAGUAACACGUGAGUAACCUGCCUUAGACAUUGGGAUAGCCUCGGGUAACCGGGAUUAAUACCAAAUGGUCUAAGAUGGACUAGCGUCCCAUUAGCUAGUUGGUGAGGGAACGGCCCACCAAGGCGAGGAUGGGUAGCCGGCCUUGGAGAGUGAACGGCCACAUUGGAGCUGAGAAACUGUCCAAACUCUACGGGAGGCAGCAGUGGGUAAUAUUGCACAAUGGAGUGAACUAUGAUGCAGCGAGGCCGCGUGAACGAAGAAGGCUUUCGAGUCGUAAAGUUCUUUUAUAUGGGAAGCGGUACCAUAAGAAAAAGCCCCGGCUAACUACGUGCCAGCAGCCGCGGUAAUUC
rnacentral:rRNA from 1 species